AUGAGGGCUGAUAGCAGUGAAUGCAGGUGUGGAAACUUUCUGGGCCGUUCUGAUCCAUUGAGAUCCCUCCAGAAGCCCGGAGGAGGGCUCAGCCUCGUCUGCAAGGCCUCCGGGUUCACCUUCAGUGGUUACCUCAUGUUCUGGGUGCGCCAGGCGCCCAGCAAGGGGCUGGAAUACGUCACAGUUAUUAGCCCUGAUGGUAGUACCCCAAAAUACGGGGCGGCGGUGAAGGGCCGUGCCACCAUCUCGAGGGACGACGGGCAGAGCACAGUGAGGCUGCAGCUGAACAACCUCAGGGCUGAGGACACCGCCAUCUACUACUGCACCAAAAAUGCUGAUGCUGGUACUCCUGAUGCUGGUGAGAUCGACAGCAUCCCACAUUUUCCUGCUCCCACCCACCCCCACAUGUGCCGCACCUCGCCCACCACUGACAGAACCCAUCCCAGAAUGUGCUGA